AUUGAACGCUGCCUUCAGGCCUAACACAUGCAAGUCGAGCGGUAGCACAGAGAGCUUGCUCUCGGGUGACGAGCGGCGGACGGGUGAGUACUGUCUGGGAAACUGCCUGAUGGAGGGGGAUAACUACUGGAAACGGUAGCUAAUACCGCAUAACGUCGCAAGACCAAAGUGGGGGACCUUCGGGCCUCAUGCCAUCAGAUGUGCCCAGAUGGGAUUAGCUAGUAGGUGGGGUAACGGCUCACCUAGGCGACGAUCCCUAGCUGGUCUGAGAGGAUGACCAGCCACACUGGAACUGAGACACGGUCCAGACUCCUACGGGAGGCAGCAGUGGGGAAUAUUGCACAAUGGGCGCAAGCCUGAUGCAGCCAUGCCGCGUGUGUGAAGAAGGCCUUCGGGUUGUAAAGCACUUUCAGCGGGGAGGAAGGCGUUAAGGUUAAUAACCUUGGCGAUUGACGUUACCCGCAGAAGAAGCACCGGCUAACUCCGUGCCAGCAGCCGCGGUAAUACGGAGGGUGCAAGCGUUAAUCGGAAUUACUGGGCGUAAAGCGCACGCAGGCGGUCUGUCAAGUCGGAUGUGAAAUCCCCGGGCUCAACCUGGGAACUGCAUUCGAAACUGGCAGGCUAGAGUCUUGUAGAGGGGGGUAGAAUUCCAGGUGUAGCGGUGAAAUGCGUAGAGAUCUGGAGGAAUACCGGUGGCGAAGGCGGCCCCCUGGACAAAGACUGACGCUCAGGUGCGAAAGCGUGGGGAGCAAACAGGAUUAGAUACCCUGGUAGUCCACGCCGUAAACGAUGUCGAUUUGGAGGUUGUGCCCUUGAGGCGUGGCUUCCGGAGCUAACGCGUUAAAUCGACCGCCUGGGGAGUACGGCCGCAAGGUUAAAACUCAAAUGAAUUGACGGGGGCCCGCACAAGCGGUGGAGCAUGUGGUUUAAUUCGAUGCAACGCGAAGAACCUUACCUGGUCUUGACAUCCACAGAACUUAGCAGAGAUGCUUUGGUGCCUUCGGGAACUGUGAGACAGGUGCUGCAUGGCUGUCGUCAGCUCGUGUUGUGAAAUGUUGGGUUAAGUCCCGCAACGAGCGCAACCCUUAUCCUUUGUUGCCAGCGGUCCGGCCGGGAACUCAAAGGAGACUGCCAGUGAUAAACUGGAGGAAGGUGGGGAUGACGUCAAGUCAUCAUGGCCCUUACGACCAGGGCUACACACGUGCUACAAUGGCAUAUACAAAGAGAAGCGACCUCGCGAGAGCAAGCGGACCUCAUAAAGUAUGUCGUAGUCCGGAUUGGAGUCUGCAACUCGACUCCAUGAAGUCGGAAUCGCUAGUAAUCGUAGAUCAGAAUGCUACGGUGAAUACGUUCCCGGGCCU
rnacentral:rRNA from 1 species